rnacentral:snRNA from 1 species
GUGCUAGCUUCGGCAGCACAUAUACUAAAAUUGGAAUGACACAAUGAAGAUUAGCAUGCCCUUUGCACAAGGGUAACAUACAAAUUUGUGAAGUGUUCCAUACUUAA